GUAAGUAACCCCCUUUAUUUUUUUCAUUUUUUUCUAGCCGGGAAAAUUAAGCUCCAUAUAUCAGCUUACUAGUCACGAGUGCAGUGGUAAUUGCUCACAUUUGAAAUCUGGCCCUUCGGUGUCCGAGUUGUAAUCGAAGAAGGUUCUUUGGUUUUGGUUCUUGUCUAUGUUCCUUGGAUCAGGUCGUAACAGAGGGUGAGAAUUCCGUGCGAUGAGAUGCCCAAUUUCAUGUAAAGUUCCUUCGUCGAGUCGAGUUGUUUGGGAAUGCAGCUCUACGUGGGUGGUAAAUUCUAUCUAAAGCUAAAUUUUGGCGAGAGAGCCGAUAGCGAACAAGUACUGUGAAGGAAAGAUGAAAAGAACUUUGAAAAGAGAGUGAAAAAGUACGUGAAAUUGUUGAAAGGGAAGGGCUUGAGGUCAGACUUGGUUUUACCAGGCCAGCAUCAGUUUGGAUGGCAGGAUAAUAGCUUAGGAAUGUGGCACUGCUUCGGUAGUGUGUUAUAGCCUGGGUUGAUACUGCCUGUCUAGACUGAGGACUGCUCUUGACUGCGUGCAGUGUCAGUCGAGUUUU
rnacentral:rRNA from 1 species